CAUUUCAACCUGAAGGAGU
rnacentral:misc_RNA from 1 species